GACCCCUAACUAAAACACCUUGGUAGGCUGCCCUCCGGAGGCAAAGGUCAUAGGUUCGAAUCCUAUCGGGCGCGCCA
rnacentral:tRNA from 2 species